rnacentral:lncRNA from 11 species
GUUUUCCAGGCUCCUGUGAUAGAUUUCAAGUGCUUACGUUGCCAACAUGAGACCAAAGAAUAUCCACUGUCAGAGACGAUUAUUUUGCAGUGCAUUGCAAAAGAAUUGCCUGGAAGAGCAUUUGUCACAUUGUGGUGGCUUGGCUUGUAAGGAAAAUCGUCCUUCACACUGUUGCAGUGGGGUACUAUAGCCUGAAAAAAAAACCCGAAUUCCUAUGCACACUGCAUGUCUUAAAGGAGAGGGGGAGAAGGGGAGAAUCCCACCUGAUAUCAUGUUACUGCUGGCAUUUCAC